GAGUUUGAUCGUGGCUCAGGACGAACGUUGGCGGUGCGCUUUAUGCAUGCAAGUCGAGGGAGAAGCAUUCGUUCCGUAAGGUUCGAAUGUGGAAACCGGCGAACGGGUGAGUAUCACGUGAGAAACCUGCCCCCUAGACCGGGAUAGCCCGAGGAAACUCGGAUUAAUACCGGAUACUCUCUUUGGAUCGCAUGAUCCAUUGAGGAAACAGUCCGCUGCUAGGGGAUGGUCUCGCGGCCUAUCAGGUAGUUGGUGAGGUAACGGCCCACCAAGCCUAAGACGGGUAGCUGGUCUGAGAGGACGAUCAGCCACACUGGAACUGAGAUACGGUCCAGACUCCUACGGGAGGCAGCAGCAGGGAAUAUUGCACAAUGGGCGAAAGCCUGAUGCAGCGACACCGCGUGCGGGAUGACGGCCUCGGUUGUAACG
rnacentral:rRNA from 1 species